GCCGACGUGGUGGAAUUGGUAGACACGCCAUCUUGAGGGGGUGGUGAGCAAUGCUCGUGCGGGUUCAAGUCCCGCCGUCGGCACCA
rnacentral:tRNA from 1 species